UACGAAGGGGGCUAGCGUUGUUCGGAUUUACUGGGCGUAAAGCGCACGUAGGCGGAUCGAUCAGUCAGGGGUGAAAUCCCAGGGCUCAACCCUGGAACUGCCUUUGAUACUGUCGAUCUGGAGUAUGGAAGAGGUGAGUGGAAUUCCGAGUGUAGAGGCGAAAUUCGUAGAUAUUCGGAGGAACACCAGUGGCGAAGGCGGCUCACUGGUCCAUUACUGACGCUGAGGUGCGAAAGCGUGGGGAGCAAACAGG
rnacentral:rRNA from 1 species